UUACGCGUUAAAUGCGCCGCCUGGGGAGUACGGCCGCAAGGCUAAAACUUAAAGGAAUUGACGGGGACCCGCACAAGCGGUGGAGCAUGUGGUUUAAUUCGACGAUAAGCGAGGAACCUUACCAGGUCUUGACAUGCAGCUGCAUACGCAAGAAAUUGCGUAGCCUUCGAGGGUGCUGCACAGGUGCUGCACGGUUGUCGUCAGCUCGUGCCGUGAGGUGUUCACUUAAGUGUGAAAACGAGCGCAACCCCUACGGUGAGUUACAAGUGUCUCACAGAACUGCCGGCGUCUAAGCCGGAGGAAGGUGGGGAUGACGUCAAAUCAGCGUGGCUCUUACGACCUGGGCCACACACGUGCUACAAUGGGUAGUUACAAAGGGACGCCAAGGCGCAAGCCGGAGCAAAUCCUAUUAAAACUAUCCUCAGUUCGGAUUGGGGGCUGCAACUCGCCCCCAUGAAGCUGGAAUCGCUAGUAACCGUAGAUCAGCCUCGCUACGGUGAAUACGUUCUCGGGUUUUGUACACACCGCCCGUCAAGCGAUGGAAGUGGGUAAUAGCUGAAGACUCUUUUUGGGUUUAUGCUAGGACUCAUGACUGGCGCU
rnacentral:rRNA from 1 species